rnacentral:rRNA from 1 species
GACGAACGCUGGCGGCGUGCUUAACACAUGCAAGUCGAACGGAAAGGCCUCUUUCGGGGGGUACUCGAGUGGCGAACGGGUGAGUAACACGUGAGUAACCUGCCCUUGACUUUGGGAUAACUUCAGGAAACUGGGGCUAAUACCGGAUAGGAGCUCCUGCUGCAUGGUGGGGGUUGGAAAGUUUCGGCGGUUGGGGAUGGACUCGCGGCUUAUCAGCUUGUUGGUGGGGUAGUGGCUUACCAAGGCUUUGACGGGUAGCCGGCCUGAGAGGGUGACCGGCCACAUUGGGACUGAGAUACGGCCCAGACUCCUACGGGAGGCAGCAGUGGGGAAUAGUGCACAAUGGGUGGAAGCCUGAUGCAGCAACGCCGUGUGCGGGAUGACGGCCUUCGGGUUGUAAACCGCUUUCGCUCAUGACGAAGCUUUGUGUGACGGUAGUGGGUAAAGAAGCACCGGCAAACUACGU